rnacentral:rRNA from 1 species
GUGUCAGCAGCCGCGGUAAUACGUAGGGUGCGAGCGUUAAUCGGAAUUACUGGGCGUAAAGCGUGCGCAGGCGGUUUCGUAAGACAGAGGUGAAAUCCCCGGGCUCAACCUGGGAACUGCCUUUGUGACUGCGAGGCUAGAGUACGGCAGAGGGGGGUGGAAUUCCACGUGUAGCAGUGAAAUGCGUAGAGAUGUGGAGGAACACCGAUGGCGAAGGCAGCCCCCUGGGCCGAUACUGACGCUCAUGCACGAAAGCGUGGGUAGCAAACAGGAUUAGAUACCCUGGUAGUCCACGCCCUAAACGAUGUCAACUAGGUGUUGGGUGGGUAAAACCAUUUAGUACCGUAGCUAACGCGUGAAGUUGACCGCCUGGGGAGUACGGCCGCAAGGUUAAA